rnacentral:lncRNA from 1 species
CUUCUUUGUUGGGCUUUCAAUGCCAUGGGACGCAUCUCGGAAUUCGAGUGUAGGGACAGUCACUAUGAUUGUCCUUUACUAGUUUCAACGACGUCAGAUGCAUGUCUAUUGCCUACAUAUCAAUGGAUGUGCCCAGAACAAUGUGGCGUUUGUCAAGCAAGUUGCAGAGACACCGGUGG